rnacentral:rRNA from 1 species
CUACGGGAGGCAGCAGUGGGGAAUUGUUCGCAAUGGACGCAAGUCUGACGACGCAACGCCGCGUGGAGGACGAAGAUCUUCGGAUCGUAAACUCCUGUCGAGUGGGACGAACGGCCCGGGACCUAACACGUUCCGGGAGUGACGGUACCACUAAAGGAAGCCCCGGCUAACUCCGUGCCAGCAGCCGCGGUAAUACGGGGGGGGCCAGCGUUGUUCGGAAUUACUGGGCGUAAAGGGCGCGUAGGCGGCCUUCUAAGUCAGACGUGAAAUCCCUCGGCUCAACCGGGGAACUGCGUCUGAUACUGGAAGGCUUGAAUUCGGGAGAGGGAUGCGGAAUUCCAGGUGUAGCGGUGAAAUGCGUAGAUAUCUGGAGGAACACCGGUGGCGAAGGCGGCAUCCUGGACCGAUAUUGACGCUGAGGCGCGAAAGCCAGGGGAGCAAACGGGAUUAGAUACCCCAGUAA